rnacentral:ribozyme from 1 species
AGAUAUGUAGAUAUAUAUAUAUAUAUAGAUUUUUUUUUUCUUCUUCUUUUUUUCUUGAUUUGU